rnacentral:hammerhead_ribozyme from 1 species
AUCCAGCUGAUGAGUCACAAAUAGGACGGAACGCGCUUUUAGGAU